rnacentral:rRNA from 1 species
AUGAACGCUGGCGGCGUGCCUAAUACAUGCCAGUCGCGCGAACAGACGAGGAGCUUGCUCCUCUGACGUUAGCGGCGGACGGGUGAGUAACACGUGGAUAACCUACCUAUAAGACUGGGAUAACUUCGGGAAACCGGAGCUAAUACCGGAUAACAUGUUGAACCGCAUGGUUCAACAGUGAAAGACGGUCUUGCUGUCACUUAUAGAUGGAUCCGCGCCGCAUUAGCUAGUUGGUAAGGUAACGGCUUACCAAGGCAACGAUGCGUAGCCGACCUGAGAGGGUGAUCGGCCACACUGGAACUGAGACACGGUCCAGACUCCUACGGGAGGCAGCAGUAGGGAAUCUUCCGCAAUGGGCGAAAGCCUGACGGAGCAACGCCGCGUGAGUGAAGAAGGUCUUCGGAUCGUAAAACUCUGUUAUUAGGGAAGAACAAAUGUGUAAGUAACUAUGCACGUCUUGACGGUACCUAAUCAGAAAGCCACGGCUAACUACGUG